rnacentral:rRNA from 1 species
AGUAACCUGCCUUGGAGUGGGGAAUAACAGCUGGAAACAGCUGCUAAUACCGCAUGAAAUGUCUGAAUCGCAUGGUUCUGGACAUCAAAGAUUUAUCGCUCUGAGAUGGACUCGCGUCUGAUUAGCUAGUUGGUGGGGUAACGGCCCACCAAGGCGACGAUCAGUAGCCGGACUGAGAGGUUGGCCGGCCACAUUGGGACUGAGACACGGCCCAGACUCCUACGGAAGGCAGCAG